rnacentral:rRNA from 1 species
GAGCGAAUGGAUUAAGAGCUUGCUCUUAUGAAGUUAGCGGCGGACGGGUGAGUAACACGUGGGUAACCUGCCCAUAAGACUGGGAUAACUCCGGGAAACCGGGGCUAAUACCGGAUAACAUUUUGAACCGCAUGGUUCGAAAUUGAAAGGCGGCUUCGGCUGUCACUUAUGGAUGGACCCGCGUCGCAUUAGCUAGUUGGUGAGGUAACGGCUCACCAAGGCAACGAUGCGUAGCCGACCUGAGAGGGUGAUCGGCCACACUGGGACUGAGACACGGCCCAGACUCCUACGGGAGGCAGCAGUAGGGAAUCUUCCGCAAUGGACGAAAGUCUGACGGAGCAACGCCGCGUGAGUGAUGAAGGCUUUCGGGUCGUAAAACUCUGUUGUUAGGGAAGAACAAGUGCUAGUUGAAUAAGCUGGCACCUUGACGGUACCUAACCAGAAAGCCACGGCUAACUACGUGCCAGCAGCCGCGGUAAUACGUAGGUGGCAAGCGUUAUCCGGAAUUAUUGGGCGUAAAGCGCGCGCAGGUGGUUUCUUAAGUCUGAUGUGAAAGCCCACGGCUCAACCGUGGAGGGUCAUUGGAAACUGGGAGACUUGAGUGCAGAAGAGGAAAGUGGAAUUCCAUGUGUAGCGGUGAAAUGCGUAGAGAUAUGGAGGAACACCAGUGGCGAAGGCGACUUUCUGGUCUGUAACUGACACUGAGGCGCGAAAGCGUGG